rnacentral:rRNA from 4 species
AGACCCGAAACCCGGUGAUCUAGCCAUGGGCAGGUUGAAGGUUGGGUAACACUAACUGGAGGACCGAACCGACUAAUGUUGAAAAAUUAGCGGAUGACCUGUGGCUGGGGGUGAAAGGCCAAUCAAACCGGGAGAUAGCUGGUUCUCCCCGAAAGCUAUUUAGGUAGCGCCUCGUGAAUUCAUCUCCGGGGGUAGAGCACUGUUUCGGCUAGGGGGCCAUCCCGGCUUACCAACCCGAUGCAAACUGCGAAUACCGGAGAAUGUUAUCACGGGAGACACACGGCGGGUGCUAACGUCCGUCGUGAAGAGGGAAACAACCCAGACCGCCAGCUAAGGUCCCAAAGUCAUGGUUAAGUGGGAAACGAUGUGGGAAGGCCCAGACAGCCAGGAUGUUGGCUUAGAAGCAGCCAUCAUUUAAAGAAAGCGUAAUAGCUCACUGGUCGAGUCGGCCUGCGCGGAAGAUGUAACGGGGCUAAACCAUGCACCGAAGCUGCGGCAGCGAACGUAUCACCCAAGACAACUUUACGGAGUUGACGAUUGACGGAGCGAAGCGACGUCAAAGCGUUCAUUAA